AGUGGUCACUGCAUCUACACGCGCCGCCGUCUUGAGACACAUCGGAAGUCUGAAGAUAUGCUGCAUGAUUGACCAAAUUAAUAUAUUUUAUUGUUCUUUUCUCUCCUCCUUUACAUAGAUAAUGGAUCAAGCAUCUGGAAGUGACACAGUUCUCGAUCAUUUGUUGGGCAGACUGGAAGAUAAGCUUGUCAAUUGCUUACUUCGGGCCCCUCUUGACAGAGAUUAUCUUCAGUUUAUGUGUACCCAGGAGAUGGUCAUAAUGUCAGCAUUGUCAAGCCAGAUUGAAGUUCCUCAGGCAGUGUAUGAUCUCCUUGUUGAGCUGCACCGUCUGGUCUCAGACCAAAAUCCUACUCAGUUUCAGAGGAUCGUUCACAUGGAGAGGGGAGAUUUUGGCCGCCCCCGUUUUAUAAUUGAGAGGGACCAUGUGUGUCAGCUUUUGGAAAUGGGACAGUCAGUAAGCUGCAUUGCGACGCUGUUUGGGGUGUCAAGGUGGACCUUGCACAGGCGCAUGACAGACUGGAAUCUUUCCAUGAGACAGAUGUACAGUCAGUUGAGUGAUGCUGAACUUAAUGAUGUGGUUCGCGACAUCCUUUCCCGAAACCAAAAUGCUGGAUACAGAAGAAUGUUGGGCCUGUUAACUGCAAGAGGACAUAGAGUUCAGUGGGCAAGGGUACGUGCAUCUAUGCAUCAAGUGGACACAGCAGGGAUUGUCUCACGAAUAACCCAGUUGGGUUGCAUAGUUCGCAGGACAUACUCUGUUCCAGGGCCCAGAUCACUGGUGCAUAUAGACACCAACCACAAGCUAAUCAGGUACAACAUUGUCAUUUUUGGCGGUAUCGAUGGCUUCUC